rnacentral:rRNA from 1 species
GAUGAACGCUGGCGGCGUGCCUAAUACAUGCCAGUCGAGCGAACAGACGAUGAGCUUGCUCCUCUGACGUUAGCGGCGGACGGGUGAGUAACACGUGGAUAACCUACCUAUAAGACUGGGAUAACUUCGGGAAACCGGAGCUAAUACCGGAUAAUAUAUUGAACCGCAUGGUUCAAUAGUGAAAGACGGUUUUGCUGUCACUUAUAGAUGGAUCCGCGCCGCAUUAGCUAGUUGGUAAGGUAACGGCUUACCAAGGCAACGAUGCGUAGCCGACCUGAGAGGGUGAUCGGCCACACUGGAAGUGAGACACGGUCCAGACUCCUACGGGAGGCAGCAGUAGGGAAUCUUCCGCAAUGGGCGAAAGACUGACGGAGCAACGCCGCGUGAGUGAUGAAGGUCUUCGGAUCGUAAAACUCUGUUAUUAGGGAAGAACAAAUGUGUAAGUAACUAUGCACGUCUUGACGGUACCUAAUCAGAAAGCCACGGCUAACUACGUG